rnacentral:rRNA from 1 species
CCUACGGGUGGCAGCAGUGAGGAAUAUUGGUCAAUGGACGAGAGUCUGAACCAGCCAAGUAGCGUGAAGGAUGACUGCCCUAUGGGUUGUAAACUUCUUUUAUAAAGGAAUAAAACGAGGCACGUGUGCCGUUUUGCAUGUACUGUAUGAAUAAGGAUCGGCUAACUCCGUGCCAGCAGCCGCGGUAAUACGGAGGAUCCGAGCGUUAUCCGGAUUUAUUGGGUUUAAAGGGAGCGUAGAUGGGUUGUUAAGUCAGUUGUGAAAGUUUGCGGCUCAACCGUAAAAUUGCAAUUGAUACUGGCAGUCUUGAGUACAGUUGAGGUAGGCGGAAUUCGUGGUGUAGCGGUGAAAUGCUUAGAUAUGACGAAGAACCCCGAUUGCGAAGGCAGCUUACUAAACUGUGACUGACGUUGAUGCUCGAAAGUGUGGGUAUCGAACAGGAUUAGAUACCCCUGUAGUC